rnacentral:rRNA from 1 species
UACGGAGGGCGCAAGCGUUGUUCGGAAUCAUUGGGCGUAAAGCGCGUGUAGGCGGUCUGGUCAGUCGGGUGUGAAAUACCGGAGCUCAACUCCGGAACUGCAUUCGAUACUGCCAGGCUAGAGGCCCGGAGAGGGUGGUGGAAUUCCCGGUGUAGAGGUGAAAUUCGUAGAUAUCGGGAGGAACACCAGCGGCGAAGGCGGCCACCUGGACGGUGACUGACGCUGAGACGCGAGAUCGUGGGGAGCAAACAGG